GUGGUCACUGUGCCUCAGACAGCCUCUGACCACCACAUGUCUGACCAGCCCUUCUCUCUUUGUAAACAGCAGAUCUAGCGGGGCCCAC